GACGAACGCUGGCGGCGUGCCUAAUACAUGCAAGUCGAGCGGACAGAAGGGAGCUUGCUCCCGGAUGUUAGCGGCGGACGGGUGAGUAACACGUGGGUAACCUGCCUGUAAGACUGGGAUAACUCCGGGAAACCGGAGCUAAUACCGGAUAGUUCCUUGAACCGCACGGUUCAAGGAUGAAAGACGGUUUCGGCUGUCACUUACAGAUGGACCCGCGGCGCAUUAGCUAGUUGGUGAGGUAACGGCUCACCAAGGCGACGAUGCGUAGCCGACCUGAGAGGAUGAUCGGCCACACUGGGACUGAGACACGGCCCAGACUCCUACGGGAGGCAGCAGUAGGGAAUCUUCCGCAAUGGACGAAAGUCUGACGGAGCAACGCCGCGUGAGUGAUGAAGGUUUUCGGAUCGUAAAGCUCUGUUGUUAGGGAAGAACAAGUGCAAGAGUAACUGCUUGCACCUUGACGGUACCUAACCAGAAAGCCACGGCUAACUACGUGCCAGCCGCCGCGGUAAGAC
rnacentral:rRNA from 1 species